GCUCAGAACGAACGCUGGCGGCAUGCCUAACACAUGCAAGUCGAACGAACCCUUCGGGGUUAGUGGCGCACGGGUGCGUAACGCGUGGGAAUCUGCCCUUUGCUUCGGAAUAACAGUUAGAAAUGACUGCUAAUACCGGAUGAUGUCUUCGGACCAAAGAUUUAUCGGCAAGGGAUGAGCCCGCGUAGGAUUAGGUAGUUGGUGGGGUAAAGGCCUACCAAGCCGACGAUCCUUAGCUGGUCUGAGAGGAUGAUCAGCCACACUGGGACUGAGACACGGCCCAGACUCCUACGGGAGGCAGCAGUGGGGAAUAUUGGACAAUGGGCGCAAGCCUGAUCCAGCAAUGCCGCGUGAGUGAUGAAGGCCUUCGGGUCGUAAAGCUCUUUUACCAGGGAUGAUAAUGACAGUACCUGGAGAAUAAGCUCCGGCUAACUCCGUGCCAGCAGCCGCGGUAAUACGGAGGGAGCUAGCGUUGUUCGGAAUUACUGGGCGUAAAGCGCACGUAGGCGGCUACUCAAGUCAGAGGUGAAAGCCCGGGGCUCAACCCCGGAACUGCCUUUGAAACUAGGUAGCUGGAAUCUUGGAGAGGUCAGUGGAAUUCCGAGUGUAGAGGUGAAAUUCGUAGAUAUUCGGAAGAACACCAGUGGCGAAGGCGACUGACUGGACAAGUAUGACGC
rnacentral:rRNA from 1 species